rnacentral:rRNA from 1 species
UACGGGGGGGCAAGCGUUGUUCGGAAUUACUGGGCGUAAAGGCUCGUAGGCGGCCAACUAAGUCGGAUGUGAAAUCCCCAGGCUUAACCUGGGAACUGCAUCCGAUACUGGAUGGCUUGAAUUCGGGAGAGGGAUGCAGAAUUCCAGGUGUAGCGGUGAAAUGCGUAGAUAUCUGGAGGAAUACCGGUGGCGAAGGCGGCAUCCUGGACCGAGAUUGACGCUGAUGAGCGAAAGCUAGGGGAGCAAACGGGG